CACCUAGGGCGACAUUAAUUGUAGCUCCUUAUCUUCCGUUUGUUUACUCACCGUUAAUUUGCGUUCAAUGUUUCUUGUCAUAUCAUAUUUAUUUGCAUUAAUUAUUCCCUGUAAUUCUGAUCGAUCUAAUAUCCUCGCAAGAUGGCAAGUACAUUUUUAUACUUUGCUUAUGGCAGCAACUUGUUAACGGAAAGAAUUCACUUCAAUAAUCCAACAGCAGUACGAAAGGAUAUUGGUCGCUUAAAAAAUUACAGACUUGAUUUUAUAACGUACUCUAAAAGAUGGGGUGGAGCAGCAGCAACGAUAGUUCCUACAGAAAACUCUUCUGUAUGGGGUGCAAUUUGGGAAUUAGAUCAAUGUAAUCUUUUUACGUUAGAUUGUCAAGAGGGUGUUAUGGACAAUAUAUACUUUCCAUUAACCGUUGACGUUGAAACUCCCAGCGGUACUGUUUUGAAAUGUAGAGUAUAUCAACAAAGUAAUGUACCAGCUAACUAUAUCAAACCAAUUUUCUUGCCAAUCGAGAGACUACCAUCGCUUCUUUAUUUAGAAACAAUUAUUAAAGGUGCUCAAGAGAGUCAACUUCCUGAUAGUUAUAUACAAUUCUUAAAGAUAAUUUCACACAAUGGAUUUAAGGGAAAAUGUGAACUUAGCUUAUCUUUGAAAGAAUCUUUACAUCUGUGAUUCUAAACCUUGGCUAAAUUUGGAAAAUUCAGCUAUUAAUAAUUCUCAAGUUUCCUGUACAAUUUGAUUAAGGUGGGUUUUUUUCUAAUACAUCUUUAUUCAAUUGUGCUUCCUCAUUAUUUAUAAGAUAAUACAGUAUAGAAUAAAAUAUUAUCUCACGAUAAUAGGGCAAAUAAUAUUAUGUGCAUCAUUAAUAUCUAUUCAUAUUCGCUCUUUUUUUUCAUUUACAAACAACAUAUAUAUUUUAUAUACAUUUAAAAGUCAAAGUAUUAUAUAAUUAAAUUUCACACGUAUUCAUUGUACUUACAGUAUUUAAUAUAUUAUAAUAUUCUAGAUUGAAAAAGAUUGUACUAUACGAUAUGAAAUGUGAAAAAUAUAUAUAAUAAUCUAUACAAUAA